rnacentral:rRNA from 1 species
AUUGAACGCUGGCGGCAGGCCUAACACAUGCAAGUCGAGCGGAAGAAGGAAACUUGUUCCUGUCUUCAGCGGGGGACGGGUGAGUGAGGCCUAGGUAUCUGACUGGUCUUGAGGGAUGAGGUCAGGUAACGGAAGCGGAUACCAAAUCCGUACAGAGUGGGAAAGUCAGGGAUCUUCGGCCCUCACGCUAUUAGCUGAGCCUAGGUCGGGUUAGCUAGUUGGUGGGGUAAGGGCCUACCAAGGCGACGAUCCGUAGCUGGUCUGAGAGGAUGAUCAGCCACACUGGAACUGAGACACGGUCCAGACUCCUACGGGAGGCAGCAGUGGGGAAUAUUGCACAAAGGGCGAAAGCCUGAUGCAGCCAUGCCGCGUGUGUGAAGAAGGUCUUCGGAUUGUAAAGCACUUUUAGUUGGGAGGAAGGGAAGUAAGUUAAUACCUUGCUGUUUUGACGUUACCAACAGAAUAAGCACCGGCUAACUUCGUG